GACAGAGGGGGCAAGCGUUGCUCGGAAUUACUGGGCGUAAAGCGUGCGCAGGCGGUUAUGUAAGACAGGUGUGAAAUCCCCGGGCUUAACCUGGGAACUGCAUUUGUGACUGCAUAGCUAGAGUACGGUAGAGGGGGAUGGAAUUCCGCGUGUAGCAGUGAAAUGCGUAGAUAUGCGGAGGAACACCGAUGGCGAAGGCAAUCCCCUGGACCUGUACUGACGCUCAUGCACGAAAGCGUGGGGAGCAAACAGGAUUAGAAUACC
rnacentral:rRNA from 1 species